AAAGGCUGGAAGCGACUCUAAACUGCAGAUAAUGCCACAGACCAGGGAUUCCCGGCCUGCUGUAAGACAGUUGCUGCAAGUUCACGAGUUGGCCCCGGGGCCAAGAUCCCAGUUUCUCGCCCCUCGAGGGUUAUGCUCUCAAUUGCACGCGCCGAGCACGGUUCUGGCACCCUAAAACUACCUUGUCUGGGCUGCAAGGCGCUCUCCUCUGCGUAUGACCCCCGCCUUUCCAGCAUGUCACAGAGUCCCCCUCGCUUUAGCCCGGGGAGCCGGGUUGCCGCACCCUUCCUCCGCGGGCUCCCACCCCCAUUUCCGGGGUCUCCUCCCUCUUGUCAGCACCUUCUCCGCCCUCCCCACUGCCUGCCCGCGCUCACCUGGUUGUUUUUGCAGAGAUCAGCCCACAUGCUGGUGCCGUCCCCUCCGCGCAUCAGGACGUGGUAGGUGAAGAAGUAGAUACCCGGUAUGGAGCAGGUGAACUUGCCCGUGGUGGGAUCAUAGUGGUUUCCGAGAUUGGUUACCACGUCGUCGAACUUGAGCACCUCGUAGCCUUCGUGCUGCCGUUUGAGGCCAGCGUAAAAGGCGAUCUUGGGCACCGUGCUAUAGGUGGCUGCACUGAUAGCCCCGGCCGCGUUCAGGCCGGGCGCCCCAGGCGGGCCGGGCAAGCCUUGGCGACCCGGCUCUCCCUUCUCGCCCGGGGGCCCCACGGGGCCCGGCGGUCCGGGCUCUCCCGGGGGCCCACGCGGGCCUGCCUUCCCCGGCCUACCGGCCUCGCCUUUGGGACCCUGGAUGAAAGUGGGCAGGGACUGCAUAAGGCCCCGGUCCGGAGUGGCGGCGGUGCUGGGAGCCUUGGUGCCCCCAUAGGGGUCGCAGACCAUGCGGCAGGUGCCCAGCAUCUCGUAGUGAGCCGACGUGCCGGCCGAGCUCACCAGCACCGGGAUGAGGAUGACCAGCAGAAGCACCAUCACCACCCCCAGCGCCCCGGCGGCGAUCAGGCGCCUCCUGCUGCCCACGAGCCGGCUCAGCGCGGGCCGAUCCUCUUGUCUGCUUUUGGACAAAAUUUUGAAGGUUGGGCGGGGACCUCUUCAGAGCCGAAAACAAUCCCCCUUCGAACCCCAACUCCCCUGGGCGGGCGCGCGCCGGUCGCUCUUGACCGGCUCCUGCUCCCCCCCGCUGAGGCUGCGGCUAGGGAGGGAGCUGGGGCGCCAAGUGACUUGAACUGAAGUCCCGAGCUGGGGGUGGGGGUUGGGGGGAGGGGUGCUCAGGGCGCCCUCUCGCCUCCUGCCAGCCCCUUCGCACCUGUGGCUGCGGCGGGUGCCGGAGCGGCCACCCGGAGGGCAAAGCCAGCUGCCGCCUGCUGCGCUCGUCCGGAGCAGCUCACACUUUUAUGCCGCUGCUGCCCGUGAUCGACUUUUCCUUUUUUGCAGACUGCGCCAGUUCUCACCAACUUUCUGUCUGAAGUUGCCCUUUUUUUUUUUUCUGCUUCUUGCUUUUCUUUUGUUGGCUUGGUUCGUCUGUCCUUGUCUCUUUUUUUUUUCUUUCUUUCUUUCUUUCUUUUUCUCCUGCAACUCCAACAGAAACGCACCCCCCAACCCUAGAGGGCUGCGGUUGCUUGGGGUCGGGAGGCCCCUGAGAUGCGCGGAGCAAUGGCAAUUCGCAGGAUCCGCGGCUCAGAGAAGCUCAGGGACAGAGGAGAUAGGAGCUAGCCAGCAGCAUCGAGAGCCUCGCCGCCGAAAAGCUGAACGAGAGAGCUGAACGCAGAAUUCUGCCUGGGUACCACCUGCCAGGAGAAGAGGAGGCUGACAAACGCGCGCCGGAGCAAUUUAUAGGAACCCAAGGCACAGAGGAAGGGGAGCCGCUUUGGCAUCUCUCUGCAGCAUCUGCUCUGCUCAUCCCACUCACACAGAGUUUGGCAUUACUCUGACAAUGUGGGAUUUUUUUUUUUCGGCCUCUCCCCCCUCUCAGCAAGGGAUGAACAGUGAAACCCUGAAUACUUCCUUGUCUAGCCCAGACGAUGGCAGCGCCCUAGCUGGUCAUACUAGGGGGAGGGAGACAGCUGCGCAACUGCUCUCAGGACUCAAGGGUCACACCUAAAUCUAUUUCCCCAGUGCCAACAGCUCUUGUUGGAGGUGGAAGUGAAGGUUGAAAGGAGGGAGGUUUGAUGACAACAUUUCUCCUCUGGCUCAUCCACAAUCAGUGCUUCAGGUGUUUUUCAAAAUGCCACUUUUAACAUAAGGAGGGCUCUCUCCAAUUUUCCAGACAGUAGAUGUGCGUGCUUUUUUUUUUAACCUUAGCAUUUGCUUCCAUAGCCUUCUAGAUGAAAUAAGAUGAGAACAGUGACGUGUACUUAAAAACCAAAGGACAUUUCUUGAUUUAAAUGAACUUGCCCACCGCCCAAAAGGAGGAGGGCUGGUUCUUUUCACAAGUGCCAAGGGCUUGAGCAUGCAUGUGCAUUUGACUCAGAGGCUUCCAGUUGCAGAGCCCUUCAGGAGACACCAUCAUUGGACUUGAAGUUGCAUUUGCUUAAAAAUGCAGCGUGCAGGAGAAGUCAUCCCUUGUCCAAAGGCCUUUGAAGGUCUUACAAUAAAGCAAGUGGUAUUUGCG
rnacentral:lncRNA from 1 species